rnacentral:rRNA from 1 species
UACAGAGGGUGCAAGCGUUAAUCGGAUUUACUGGGCGUAAAGCGCGCGUAGGCGGUUCAUUAAGUCGGUUGUGAAAUCCCUGGGCUUAACCUGGGAACUGCAGUCGAUACUGGUGGACUAGAAUGCGGUAGAGGGUGGCGGAACUCCGGGUGUAGCGGUGAAAUGCGUAGAUAUCCGGAAGAACACCGAUGGCGAAGGCAACCACCUGGGCCUGCAUUGACGCUGAGGUACGAAAGCGUGGGGAGCAAACAGG